GCGGGUCUGUUUUGAAGAGCACAUGAUGAGUCUGCAUUCUCUCUUGAUGUGUUAGCAAUUUGAUGAUUAAUUUGAUAUGGCAAAUAACGUGCUGCUGAAAAGCAAAAGACUUUUGCGAAGGGAUGCUGACCCAGAUGACCCAGACUGUAGAGCAGGCUACCUUGAAAAAACCCACCAGACUUACUUAAAGGAUUUAGAAAAAAAGAAAGAGUGAACGAUCUCACAGAAAGAGGAAAAAGACAGGAGCGAAAGAAAUGGCGGGUCAGACAGGAAAAACACAGAUGUUGAGAGCAGGAAAGACGGUGUUGACCCCCCCAUUUUCUCCAGACUGUCAACCCUGUACUUCAAGACAAACCGAAGCGCAGAGGUCGACACAGGACAGUACAUAAAGCCUGAAGAAAACAGCAUAAGUUGUAAGAAACGUCAGCAUUUGCAGGGUACAAAUCAAGACCCUGAAAGUCCAAGAACGGAGACGAGAAGCACACUACAUGGCCACCCUGCCUCCUCAACAAUUAAAAAAAAACUCUAAACCUCCACUAUGGGCCUUGGGGGAACUUUGAGCAAAGCAAAGCAGCCAAAUCAGACACAGCCAAACAAGGGUUUGCAAAUAUACUGAGAUGAAAGCUAAUAAAUACAUGCAAAUUCCAAAAGUUGUGUGAGCAGAUCAUUGUUUUUUUUUUAAUACAAAGCCUGGAAGCAACAAAAGAGGUCAACAAGCAAGCUUGGUGGAAAUAAACAAGAGGACAGACAGCCUUGAGACAGUUUUACCUAGCAGGCAAGGCCCUGCCAAGAAAGACACUAUCACACUAAGGAAGGUGAAGAAACAGGAGGCUCCUUUGUGAUUCCCGGUGUAACCUCCACAGGAAAUACGUUGCUGAGCAUGGGCAACUGAAGGGGGAGACCCUUUUGGGUGGUGACACCGCAGGAGAGGCCAAGAAACUUGCUGGUGCAACACUCAUGACAAAUUGCAGUUUAUGGCAAAUAAAAUGCUCAACCUUGGACAUAACCGAGGAAGAGCUUGUUACCCAGUUCCAGGAACGACGCUUUAAAAUGUAGGAGACAUCUGUUCAACAUUCGAUGGCAGGUAUCAAAGCUACCGGACCUUGAGAGAGAACCUGACCAAUGACUGCCUGAUCCAUAUAGUUUUUAGUGAAAACGUCAAAUGCAUGUAUGCUUCAGAGAUCCAGUCAGUUCACUUCGGGGGUUCACACAAGCAGGUGACACUCCACACUGGUAUCCUCUAUGUGGCAGAGGAGCCCCCACCCAUCUCUUUCUGCACCUUCUCACCCAGCAGCCAUAUGGGCACAGUUGGACCCCAUUCUGGACAUGCUAAAACAGCAGUACUCUACUGUGAAACACCUUCACUUCUUCAAUGAUGGCCCAGACACCAAUAUAAACAGAAGGGCAACUUCUAUAUGGUUCGCACUGAACCUUUCAAGAACGGCAUCCAGGGAUUACGUGGAACUUUUUUGAGGCCAGUCACACAACGUGUGCUCCGGAUGGAGUGGGUGGUUCACAGCUGACCUCUUGGUCCACCACAGGAAAGACAUAACUGAAAUGUGUUUCUAUUAGGAGGUAAGAGACUCAAAUACAGUUGUAUUAUGUCAGUGAGGAAGAGGUGGCAUAAAGUAAGCAUAAAAGGAACCAUGCGAAUGCACCAGGUUCUUAAUAUCAUGCCUGGCAUCCUAAAAUGUCUCAGCGCAAGGAGUGUGGGAUUGCCUAUGUUAUGGACUCCAAGAAAUCACCCUCCCGACAGUGCCUGCUAAUGGCAAGGGUCUCUCACCUCCACAUCAAACCGAUGUCAUUGACCCGAAUGCCUCAGCUCCACUUCGUCCAGAUGUCAUCGAGGCUCACCACCCUGGACAGUGGUGCAUUGUGAACUAUGACGAACAAACAAACCCUGCCGUUAUACUGGAGGUCGAAGAACAAAAGAUCAAAGUUAAGUGCAUGCACAGGAAUGGAGUCAACAAGUUCUUCUGGCCAAGCCCAAGAGAUGAUAUCAACUGGUAUGGGGAUUUACCAGAUUGUGUGUCUGAUGCCAAAGCCGCUGCCAGUGAACAAAAGAUCAGAUUGACCACAGUAUCUGGAAGUACUUGGAGGAGCACAUGAAUGUGUGAAAGUGGCAGGUGUGAACUGGCUACCAUAGAAGAAGCCGUCAGCGGCUAGAAAGCAAUGGAGACUGGCUCGGAGAUUACAACAGAUGGACGUGACACAAUAACAUGGCAAAGACGAACAUCUCAAGUAAAAGUGAAGUUAGUAUGGGGAAUAAUUUGUACGGGAAAAGUUUGUACAGGAAAUGGGCCUAUUUACAUAAACAUUUUUGACUUUUGUCCUAGUUUACAUUCAAUGUUAUGUUUCUAUUGUUAUAAUAGACAUGUUUUAUGUUGUUAGGAAAUACAUUUUAGUCCAUAAGAUUAAGACCAAAAGAGGAAACCAUUGACUAAAAUGUAUAUCCUAACACAACACUGUUGUACAAAGUAAAACAUGUCUUGGCCAGAAGAAAUGAAAGAUAUUACUAAGUUAAUCAAAUGUGUAUGAAAUAAUGAUAUGUUCUGUCAUUGCUUUCAGAUUGUGUCACUGGUGUUACAUUGCAUCACUGGUGUUAUUGAAUCACUGGUGUUAUUGCACGGCAUGUUGGUGUUCUGGCAUCAGCUGCCCAUUGUCAUAGAAUAUGUUUAAUUGUAUUGACACAACUGUUGCUGCGUUCAUUAGUAAGCAUUUUAAGAAUAUGCUAAUCCAAUUUUGGUGAUUUAGCCUCCAUUAUUUCUGAUGUUACAACACAAAACACAUGGUAGAAAUAUGGAAAUGUCUCACAAUAGAACUUUACACACACCGGUUUAAAGUCAUUUAUUACUUAUCAAAACCAUUUCUUAAUAAUAGCAUUAACCCUUUGUCUUUAAUUAUAUAUGCAAAUUCAAUUAUGAAAUUACAUUCAGAAAAGCCAGAAUUGUCAGCUAAAAUAUAGGUAACACCAGUGGUGUGAAGUACUUAAGUAAAAAUACUUUAAAUACUUGUUUUUGGGGGGGUAUCUGUAUUUUACUAUUUAUAUUUUAACAAUUUUUACUCCACUACACUCCUUUUAAUUUACUUAAAAAUAUAUAUUUUUACCCCAAUUGGUAGUUACAGUCUUGUCCCAUCGCUGCAACUCCCGUAUGGACUCGGGAGAGGCGAAGGUCGAGAGUCAUGCGUCCUCCGAAACAUAACCCAGCCCAGCUGCUUCUUGACACAAUGCCAACUUAACCCGGAAGCCAGCCGCACCAAUGUGUUGGAGGAAACACUGUACACCAGGCAACCGUGUCAGAAUGCACUGCACCCGGCCCACCACAGUAGUCGCUAUAGUGCGCAAUGGGACAAGAACAUCUCUGCCGGCCAAACCCUCCCCAAACCCGGACGACGCUGGGCCGAUUGUGCUCCGCCCCAUGGG